rnacentral:lncRNA from 1 species
UUUUGAGCCGAGUAUGUUGGUGCAAAAGUAAUUGCGGUUUUUGCUAUUACGUUUAAUGGCAAAGCUGCAAUUACUUUUACACCAACCUAAUAAAAUUCCAUAGAUGGGUGGCUUAUAAACAGCAGGGGUCUAUGUCUAUGGUUCUCGACCACAGUCUCUAUCCUGGAUUCCAGGAUCAAGGCAGCUGCAGAUUCAGUGUCUGCUGGGAACCUGGUUUCUGGUUCGGAGAUGGCACCUUCUCACCGUGUCCUCACGUGGUGGAACGGAUGAACACCCUCCCGCAGGACUCUUUUGUAAGGGCACCCAUCCCGUUCCCCCGGACUCCGUUACAAGGGCACCCAUCCCGUUCCCCCGGACUCCGUUACUAGGGCACCCAUCCCGUUCCCCCGGACUCCAAGGGCACCCAUCCCGUUCCCCCGGACUCCAAGGGCACCCAUCCCGUUCCCCCGGACUCCGUUACAAGGGCAGCCAUCCCAUCCCCCGGACUCUGUUAUAAGGGCACCCAUCCCGUUCCCCCGGACUCUGUUACAAGGGCACCCAUCCCGCUCCCCCGGACUCCGUUACAAGGGCACCCAUCCCGUUUCCCCGGACUCCGUUACAAGGGCACCCAUCCCGUUUCCCCGGACUCCGUUACAAGGGCACCCAUCCCGUUUCCCCGGACUCUGUUACAAGGGCACCCAUCCCGUUUCCCCGGACUCUGUUACAAGGGCACCCAUCCCGUUUCCCCGGACUCUGUUACAAGGGCACCCAUCCCGUUUCCCAGGACUCUGUUACAAGGGCACCCAUCCCGUUUCCCCGGACUCUGUUACAAGGGCACCCAUCCCGUUCCCCCGGACUCUGUUACAAGGGCACCCAUCCCGUUCCCCUGGACUCCGUUACAAGGGCACCCAUCCCGUUCCCCUGGACUCCGUUACAAGGGCACCCAUCCCGUUCCCCUGGACUCCGUUACAAGGGCACCCAUCCCGUUCCCCCGGACUCUGUUAUAAGGGCACCCAUCCCGUUCCCCCGGACUCCGUUACAAGGGCACCCAUCCCGUUCCCCCGGACUCUGUUAUAAGGGCACCCAUCCCGUUCCCCCGGACUCUGUUACAAGGGCAGCCAUCCCGUUCCCCCGGACUCCGUUACAAGGGCACCCAUCCCGUUCCCCUGGACUCUGUUACAAGGGCACCCAUCCCGUUUCCCCGGACUCUGUUACACCCAUCCCGCUCCCCCGGACUCUGUUAUAAGGGCACCCAUCCCGUUCCCCCGGACUCCGUUACAAGGGCACCCAUCCCGUUCCCCCGGACUCUGUUACAAGGGCACCCAUCCCGUUCCCCCGGACUCUGUUACAAGGGCACCCAUCCCGUUCCCCCGGACUCUGUUACAAGGGCACCCAUCCCGUUCCCCCGGACUCUGUUACAAGGGCACCCAUCCCGUUCCCCCGGACUCUGUUACAAGGGCACCCAUCCCGUUCCCCCGGACUCUGUUACAAGGGCACCCAUCCCGUUCCCCUGGACUCCGUUACAAGGGCACCCAUCCCGUUCCCCUGGACUCCGUUACAAGGGCACCCAUCCCGUUCCCCCGGACUCUGUUAUAAGGGCACCCAUCCCGUUCCCCCGGACUCCGUUACAAGGGCACCCAUCCCGUUCCCCCGGACUCUGUUAUAAGGGCACCCAUCCCGUUCCCCCGGACUCUGUUACAAGGGCAGCCAUCCCGUUCCCCCGGACUCCGUUACAAGGGCACCCAUCCCGUUCCCCUGGACUCUGUUACAAGGGCACCCAUCCCGUUUCCCCGGACUCUGUUACACCCAUCCCGCUCCCCCGGACUCUGUUAUAAGGGCACCCAUCCCGUUCCCCUGGACUCCGUUACAAGGGCACCCAUCCCGUUCCCCUGGACUCCGUUACAAGGGCACCCAUCCCGUUCCCCCGGACUCUGUUAUAAGGGCACCCAUCCCGUUCCCCCGGACUCCGUUACAAGGGCACCCAUCCCGUUCCCCCGGACUCUGUUAUAAGGGCACCCAUCCCGUUCCCCCGGACUCCGUUACAAGGGCACCCAUCCCGUUUCCCCGGACUCUGUUACAAGGGCACCCAUCCCGUUCCCCCGGACUCCGUUACAAGGGCACCCAUCCCGUUCCCCCGGACUCCGUUACAAGGGCACCCAUCCCGUUCCCCUGGACUCCGUUACAAGGGCACCCAUCCCGUUCCCCCGGACUCUGUUAUAAGGGCACCCAUCCCGUUCCCCCGGACUCUGUUACAAGGGCACCCAUCCCGUUCCCCCGGACUCCGUUACAAGGGCACCCAUCCCGUUCCCCCGGACUCUGUUACAAGGGCACCCAUCCCGUUCCCCCGGACUCCGUUACAAGGGCACCCAUCCCGUUCCCCUGGACUCCGUUACAAGGGCACCCAUCCCGUUCCCCCGGACUCUGUUAUAAGGGCACCCAUCCCGUUCCCCCGGACUCCGUUACAAGGGCACCCAUCCCGUUCCCCCGGACUCUGUUAUAAGGGCACCCAUCCCGUUCCCCCGGACUCUGUUACAAGGGCAGCCAUCCCGUUCCCCCGGACUCCGUUACAAGGGCACCCAUCCCGUUCCCCUGGACUCUGUUACAAGGGCACCCAUCCCGUUUCCCCGGACUCUGUUACACCCAUCCCGCUCCCCCGGACUCUGUUAUAAGGGCACCCAUCCCGUUCCCCUGGACUCCGUUACAAGGGCACCCAUCCCGUUCCCCUGGACUCCGUUACAAGGGCACCCAUCCCGUUCCCCCGGACUCUGUUAUAAGGGCACCCAUCCCGUUCCCCCGGACUCCGUUACAAGGGCACCCAUCCCGUUCCCCCGGACUCUGUUAUAAGGGCACCCAUCCCGUUCCCCCGGACUCCGUUACAAGGGCACCCAUCCCGUUUCCCCGGACUCUGUUACAAGGGCACCCAUCCCGUUCCCCCGGACUCCGUUACAAGGGCACCCAUCCCGUUCCCCCGGACUCCGUUACAAGGGCACCCAUCCCGUUCCCCUGGACUCCGUUACAAGGGCACCCAUCCCGUUCCCCCGGACUCUGUUAUAAGGGCACCCAUCCCGUUCCCCCGGACUCUGUUACAAGGGCACCCAUCCCGUUCCCCCGGACUCCGUUACAAGGGCACCCAUCCCGUUCCCCCGGACUCUGUUACAAGGGCACCCAUCCCGUUCCCCCGGACUCCGUUACAAGGGCACCCAUCCCGUUCCCCCGGACUCCGUUACAAGGGCACCCAUCCCGUUCCCCUGGACUCCGUUACAAGGGCACCCAUCCCGUUCCCCCGGACUCUGUUAUAAGGGCACCCAUCCCGUUCCCCCGGACUCUGUUACAAGGGCACCCAUCCCGUUCCCCCGGACUCCGUUACAAGGGCACCCAUCCCGUUCCCCCGGACUCUGUUACAAGGGCACCCAUCCCGUUCCCCCGGACUCCGUUACAAGGGCACCCAUCCCGUUCCCCUGGACUCCGUUACAAGGGCACCCAUCCCGUUCCCCCGGACUCUGUUAUAAGGGCACCCAUCCCGUUCCCCCGGACUCCGUUACAAGGGCACCCAUCCCGUUCCCCCGGACUCUGUUACAAGGGCACCCAUCCCGUUCCCCCGGACUCCGUUACAAGGGCACCCAUCCCGUUCCCCCGGACUCCGUUACAAGGGCAGCCAUCCCGUUCCCCCGGACUCCGUAACAAGGGCACCCAUCCCGUUCCCCUGGACUCUGUUACAAGGGCACCCAUCCCGUUCCCCCGGACUCCGUUACAAGGGCACCCAUCCCGUUCCCCCGGACUCCGUUACAAGGGCACCCAUCCCGUUCCCCCGGACUCCGUUACAAGGGCACCCAUCCCGUUCCCCCGGACUCUGUUACAAGGGCACCCAUCCCGUUCCCCCGGACUCUGUUACAAGGGCAGCCAUCCCGUUCCCCCGGACUCUGUUAUAAGGGCACCCAUCCCGUUCCCCCGGACUCUGUUAUAAGGGCACCCAUCCCGUUCCCCCGGACUCCGUUACAAGGGCACCCAUCCCGUUCCCCUGGACUCCGUUACAAGGGCACCCAUCCCGUUCCCCCGGACUCUGUUAUAAGGGCACCCAUCCCGUUCCCCCGGACUCUGUUACAAGGGCACCCAUCCCGUUCCCCCGGACUCCGUUACAAGGGCACCCAUCCCGUUCCCCCGGACUCUGUUAUAAGGGCACCCAUCCCGUUCCCCCGGACUCUGUUACAAGGGCAGCCAUCCCGUUCCCCCGGACUCUGUUAUAAGGGCACCCAUCCCGUUCCCCCGGACUCUGUUACAAGGGCAGCCAUCCCGUUCCCCCGGACUCUGUUAUAAGGGCACCCAUCCCGUUCCCCGGACUCUGUUCCCUGAUUGUCUUGCAUAGGGCUCUCCGUCUAAUAGCAUCACCUCGGUUAAGAUCUCAGCAUUAAUUUGGGGGAGGGGCAUAAACAUCCAGUCAUUGCAAAUACCAUGUGGGCAAACAAAGUAGGUCCAAGGUUGCUGGAUGGUGCCUUCUGAAAAGUCAUCUGGUAGACCGAGGCUGUUUCAGUAAGGCAGCACAGUCAGGAGGGAGGGAGUCUCCAGCCAGAUGGCUCGGCUCAGAUCCCAGCUCUGGUGCUUGCUAGCUGUGUGAAGAUGAGCUGGGAUUUUAUCUAACUGUGUCUCAUUUCCAUAUCUUUAAAAUGGGUGCUAGCACAACACCUACCUCAUCCACUUAGGAGGAGCUGAUGAGUAUCAACGAUCCAGAGAGUUCCUGGCCCGCAGCUGGCACACAGUCCACGUUACUGUCAGACAGUGGGGAGAAAAGAGUUUCCUCAUUCUCCUGGUGGGCCGUUCUCAUUGCAAUGUUGCUUUUGUUCCACAAGGUCAGUUUUUUUCUCACUCUUUCAUGAGACUAUUUUUAGAAAACUCAAUCCAUUUCAGUGCUCUUCCCGAAGAACUGUGGGGAAUUGUGGGGAAUGAUUUUCUUGCCCCACUUGGCGAUCAGAGCUUGACAUCCCACUCGUGAGCAUUGACUGUGUGCCGAGUUCUGGGGCUGAAUCCUGCUCCUCUGACUUCCUUGGCCUGUGACAUUGGCCCUGUGUCACAUUUCCUUUUCUGUACAAUGAGGUGAUGGUCAAGCCUGCCUCAGAGGCCGGGGUGAGAAUUUCAAGAGUGAAAUUUGGAAACAGCUAAGGACAGUGCCUGGGACAUAGUGAAAGUUCAGUGAUAGCUGAACGUUUUGUGUCCCCAGGGACCACUGUUUAAGCCUUAACCACCUCCCACUUUAUUCCCCACGUUAAGCAUUGUGCACUUAGAACAGCCAGUGACGUAACAUGGGAAACGUGGGGUGAAAGUGACGAGGACUGCCAUGGGCAUUAGUAGUAUCCCCGCCUCGAGUUACCAAAGAGGAAACGGAGGCCCAUCCCCCCAAGGUGGCUUUUCUUUGCGUUAUUGCAUUGCUUUUCCAGCCUGCCCAGAACUUUGAUCCAGCACUCUGUUACCUGGAAACUUCUGUGUGUUUCUUGACUUGCAGUAGGUUCAGUCCUGUUGCCUGUGGGGGGAUGGAGUGGAGUUGCGUGAUGAGUGUAUUGCAGUAAACUUAUGAGUCAAACCUAAGACUCCCCUCUCCCCUAGAACACAUCCUCCACUCCCUGGAAGAUGCAACUCCUACGGAAACUGAGUCCAAUGAUCAAAGGCACUGGCAUUCAGAGGGGACCCACUGAUAAUUGCCGACUACACAGGAGCUGUCUUCCAUAACUCCUCAGAGAGCACGUUGGCCCUACAAAUGCAAAUCCAACAUUCAGCCACGACCUCCCAUGUGCCAAGUGUCAUGGGAUUCAUGCUUUCAAACCAUCGGUUCCAGACACCACGACAUUCUCUUCAUUGUCCAAGGAAACCAUUCUCCUCAUCUAGAAACAUCAUCGAUUUCUGAAGUUAAAUUGAGACCAGAGUGGAUUCUGCACAUCAGUCUCUCCCCUUUCCCUCUGUGACUGUGGACUCUGGGAGGGUUGAAGGGAGGUGGUGCCAAUGGCAAAGACAUGCUCUGAUGGUGCGGCUUUUCCACAGGCCUUUCUUAAGCUGUGACUGGGUCUCAGAUCUUUCUUCAGACCUGAGGGAUGUUUAGAGUGGAGGAUGUUUGCAACCAUCAGUCUUCCGUCAUGUUACACUGGAGUUUCGUGGCAGUGACGUGAAUUAAAGAGUAAUA